rnacentral:rRNA from 1 species
GACGAACGCUGGCGGCGUGCCUAAUACAUGCAAGUAGAACGCUGAAGAGAGGAGCUUGCUCUUCUUGGAUGAGUUGCGAACGGGUGAGUAACGCGUAGGUAACCUGCCUUGUAGCGGGGGAUAACUAUUGGAAACGAUAGCUAAUACCGCAUAACAAUGGAUGACACAUGUCAUUUAUUUGAAAGGGGCAAUUGCUCCACUACAAGAUGGACCUGCGUUGUAUUAGCUAGUAGGUGAGGUAACGGCUCACCUAGGCGACGAUACAUAGCCGACCUGAGAGGGUGAUCGGCCACACUGGGACUGAGACACGGCCCAAACUCCUACGGGAGGCAGCAGUAGGGAAUCUUCGGCAAUGGGGGCAACCCUGACCGAGCAACGCCGCGUGAGUGAAGAAGGUUUUCGGAUCGUAAAGCUCUGUUGUAAGUCAAGAACGAGUGUGAGAGUGGAAAGUUCACACUGUGACGGUAGCUUACCAGAAAGGGACGGCUAACUACGUGCCAGCAGCCGCGGUAAUACGUAGGUCCCGAGCGUUGUCCGGAUUUAUUGGGCGUAAAGCGAGCGCAGGCGGUUUGAUAAGUCUGAAGUUAAAGGCUGUGGCUCAACCAUAGUUCGCUUUGGAAACUGUCAAACUUGAGUGCAGAAGGGGAGAGUGGAAUUCCAUGUGUAGCGGUGAAAUGCGUAGAUAUAUGGAGGAACACCGGUGGCGAAAGCGGCUCUCUGGUCUGUAACUGACGCUGAGGCUCGAAAGCGUGGGGAGCGAACAGGAUUAGAUACCCUGGUAGUCCACGCCGUAAACGAUGAGUGCUAGGUGUUGGAUCCUUUCCGGGAUUCAGUGCCGCAGCUAACGCAUUAAGCACUCCGCCUGGGGAGUACGACCGCAAGGUUGAAACUCAAAGGAAUUGACGGGGGCCCGCACAAGCGGUGGAGCAUGUGGUUUAAUUCGAAGCAACGCGAAGAACCUUACCAGGUCUUGACAUCCCGAUGCUAUUUCUAGAGAUAGAAAGUUACUUCGGUACAUCGGUGACAGGUGGUGCAUGGUUGUCGUCAGCUCGUGUCGUGAGAUGUUGGGUUAAGUCCCGCAACGAGCGCAACCCCUAUUGUUAGUUGCCAUCAUUCAGUUGGGCACUCUAGCGAGACUGCCGGUAAUAAACCGGAGGAAGGUGGGGAUGACGUCAAAUCAUCAUGCCCCUUAUGACCUGGGCUACACACGUGCUACAAUGGUUGGUACAACGAGUUGCGAGUCGGUGACGGCAAGCUAAUCUCUUAAAGCCAAUCUCAGUUCGGAUUGUAGGCUGCAACUCGCCUACAUGAAGUCGGAAUCGCUAGUAAUCGCGGAUCAGCACGCCGCGGUGAAUACGUUCCCGGGCCU